ACAGAAUCCAAAGUAGGCUCCAGGCUCUGGGCUGCCAGAACAGAGCCCGACACGGGGCUCGAACCAAUAGCAGGAUCAUGACCUGAGUCAAAGUUGGAAGCUUAACUGACUGAGCCAUCUGAAAUUGGCACCCCGAGAUCGACAACUUCCUAAACCAACCAAGGAUUGGGUUAAAUUAAACUUUAUAAGGUUGUAUUUAUGAAAAAAUGAUGUAUUAAGACAAAAUUUUAAAUGUCUUGUACUUGACUGAAUUCUUCCUUUUAAUGGAUUAAUAUUUUUCCCCAUUUAAAAAAAAUGGUCUAAAAUAUAAUUUGUGGAGAUAAUUAAGGCCACAGUAGUGUUUUAGAAUCAGUAAAGGAAAAUAGUUCUUAGUAAAGUUGCUCAAUAAGCCUAUAUUCUGGAAUCCCAAUACUCUGUUCUAGAACCUGUGUGUGGCCAUGGUCUAGAGCCAUCUGUGGGAGAUGUGCCUCAGGAACCUCCAGACACGUAAAUGCAGACCCUCAAGAGCAAUCUAUGCCUCCACCUCUAUCCCAAGGGAUAACCUUACUUACAAAGUUUAAAAGUGGACAGUUGGGAACUGGAGCUGUGGUAAAGGUAAGCGGUUUUUCCAGAGGUUUAAUCUUGUCCCGAAUAGAGGAUCCCUCAUUUGCAACUUUUGAUCCCUUGGUUGGACUUGAACUAAGAAUUCUGAGGGCUGUCUGUGUCCCUGCUCUGGUUGGUCUCCAAGCUAUCCUUUGCCAGGCUUUCUGCUGUGAAGAGGUAACCGAUCUCCAAAAUAAUGGCAGGUACUUUGAGAAACGUUUCUUAUUUCUGGGCUCAGGAGAGUGUUCUCAAAUCAGGCCCACCUGUUCCCUGUAAGGGCAGAGGAGAUUAGCUGUUCAAAGAUGCAGAAACCUGCUCUUUCGUUUCCAUCCGCUUUCGGGGACAGAUGCUGUGUAGACGCUGAGAAGCUGAACUGCCCUGGGCCCUUUGACCAGCACGUGGGGCAAAGCCCAGAAGGUGCACAGUCCACUGUGCAGCCAGGACAACAGCCCCCUUUCUAGGGUGUGCAGUGGCAUGCUGGCGCAUCCCUGGUGUUCACCGUGAGCCAGGAGUUAUAAAAAGAGCAUACAAAGUAGGAAAGGAUGUGAGGAUGCUGUGUCUUAAAGUGUCUCCAGGUAAUGUGCGCAGAGCAGAGUACGGUAUAAAGGGGCUUUGCGGCAAAAUCAUUCUGCGAAUCGUAAGGUGAAAAUAAGUCAUGCGUGGCCUAGGACAGGGCUGCUCUGGAGAACUUCCUGUGGUGGCAGAAAUUUCUAUACCCCAUUCUGUGUGGUAGCCACUAGACGAACGUGGUUACUCAACCUAUGUGGGUAGAGACGUGAGGAGUGGAAUUUUAAAUUUAAAUGGCUACAUGUGGUUAAUCACUAGUGUAUUAAAGAGCACGGAUAUGAGAGAAAACACAUUUGUAUAUAUAUACUCUCUAUAUAUUCAUUUUAUAUAAAGGAGAAUUUUUGUAAAAUUUGCGUGUAAAACUGCUUUGGACUAUGUUUACUCCAAAAACUUCAAACAGCGUCUACAGAUCUAGGUCUACCCACUGCCCACGUUGUGUUCCAAGCCUUGGGAUUUCUUCUCAGAGAAUGCCAUGUGAUUGGUAUUCAGUGUGGUCCCCUGACAGAUCUGCCUAGAUGCACACUCUCCUCUGAGUCUACAUCGGGGCUGUAUGAACUUGUCAUACAUGCUGUGGCCCCAACACACCCAUCUCUGACAACCGCUAAACCCACUUUUGCAAUAAAGCUUUAUAAAGCACCGCUUCAGUUCCUGUGGUGCCUGUCUUCACUCUGUCGCCCUCUGGCUGGUCCUCACUACUGCAUCUUACCCGUAUCAUCUGGAAGUCUGCUCACAACAGGUUUUAUCCAUGUCAAACUAGCCGGUUGGAUACUGAAGACCACCAGUUAGAUGGUCUUUCAUUCUGUGUGCUACAUGUACCAAGGGUAGGUACUGGGCAAGGCCUGGGGACUAGGUGCUGUAAAAAAAACUUAAGAAUGGGUAAUCACAAAGACUACAUUUCUGAAACUACAAACCAAGGCACAUUGGUAAAAGAUUUUCAGCCACAGCCAGUGAGUGGCAAGAGGCAGUCUGGGAGAUACUGUUUGGAUGCCAAAACCUUUGCAGUGUAUCUAUCAGCAACAGACUUCGUGAUGGCCAGGUCUUCUGACAGAAGCGGUCUAUGAGCUGGAGUGUCCUGCCUCUAAAGUAGUAGCUGCCUUUUCACAAUUUGCAUAAGCAUUGAAAUAAAUUAGCAUUUGCACUUUUUUUUUUUUUUAAACUUGCUUUGCUUGGUUGUUCCCACCGGUCUAUCCUGAUUUAAAUAUGAGGUAACUCAAUAUUUUAGCACAAAAUCAUGUAUUAACUGAAGUUCAAUCUUUUUUAAUGGUUCACGGAGUUGCACACCAAGCAGCAUGGCUUCCCUCAGUAACACAGUCCCUGUCUCAACAACCACCAAAGACAGGAAACGAGGCAAGAUGACCUGAGAUUACUUGAGUGGUACUGGCAUGUGGCGUUCCACUCCGGAGAGGGCUCUCCUGGUGGACUAGGGCUUCAUGGAGAGCUCUGAUGUGGAGGAGACUGGAGCAGAGCCUUGGGAGGAAGAGCAGGGACAUCUGGCCAGCACUGGCAGAUUCCUGAUCAGUCAGCCGACUGCCCUGUGUGCUUGGCACUGGCCUUCUGUGCACUCAGGCUCUCCAUUCAGCCACCCCUGCUCCAGUGGGACAUACUGUGAUCUCAGCUUUCCUGAUGGAAGCAGACUCUGAAUGGCUCUGGUCUUCUGAAGAGGUCUCCAUCAGGAAUCUGAGGGGCUGUGAGCAGCCACUACAGAGGAGCCCAACCAGCACCCGUCCUGGAUCCCACCUGUGCUGCUGCGAGAGGUCCCGGCUGAACUGAAGCAGGCACUAUCACACCAGCUCCCACCUCAUUUGCUUCUGACACUCCACUCUUCCUACUGCAGACCUCUAAUCUAGUGCAUCUCCUGUCUAAUGGCCUUAAUGUCUCCCUAAGUGGCCCCAACCCUCCAGUCUCUUCCUUUUCCAAGACUGCUUGUGGUCACAUACACUUGCAUCUCAAUUCUGCCAUUCUUCUAUUGAACAACCUUGACUUCACACUGUCAGGUCCAAACUCCUGCCAAGCUCUGCAUGAAGGGGAACAACUGGCCUCUGGCUUCAUCUCCUCCCCAUCCACAAGAUGAACUGGGCAGCCCAAUGAACUGAAGUUAUCUGCCACUCCUUCCAAAUCAGUUGCACUUUCCCAUGGUGUAACUUUACUGUGUGUCUUUGCCUGGAUGCUUCCUUAACUCCUCUUGUACCACACCUUCCCAUAACCCAAUAUGUAGAUGGAAGGCUACUUUGCAAAGAUGGCCCCUCUUUUCUCCAGGGGCAAAAUCCUGACAUCUGUAUCUUCUCACCCCUACCAGGCAGAGAGCUACUAAAAGAGGGCUCAGCCUUGUCUACAGUCCCUAAGCCAGGUCCUGAACUGCUGUUGGGGGGCGGGGGGGCAGAUAAUAGCUGCUUCAACAGAGGCUGGAGGCUUUUACUCUGGCUUUCUCAUCUGAGGUCUUUAGCUUGAGGUUUACUAAUUCAGGUUUUUAGUGCUGUCAACUUGCCUAUGUAUAGAAGUAUACUAGAAGGAUAAUGCUUUUCCUGGAUGCUUUCCUAAUGUGUCAGCCUGCUAGAGGAGCCUAUAAACAGAAUGACCAUUUCUUUUACUUUUUACUUGCUUAGUAUCCUACUCCCACUAUUUUGUAGUAACUCACAAAUGAUGACAGCUUAAAAAGACUCUAGUGAUUGGCCUAGAAGGAGAUGCUCAGGGAGGACCAAAGGGGAUUUCUCAGUCUUGGCAUCUCCAAGAGACCCAGUGGCAUCUCAUGAGUCCAGAGGAGGAGUGUGCCUUUUGUGUGAGGACCGGAGAGCAGGGUCAUCCAUGCCACACCCAACGGCAGCCCCAUGCUUGUCGCUGAUUCUUACCUGGCUUCCCUCUUUUGUAGACAAGGCAAACUUUCCCAUUCCCAUCGCAAGGAUCCAGCUCAAAUAUCACACUUCGAGAAUCAAAGUGAGGCUUCUCUGGCUGGUUCUCACUGGCUGCAAAUCCAGAAGUUAAUGGUCAUGUUCAAACAUACUCAACUCAAAUACAUAAUUACUUGUCCAGUUUUGCUAGGGUGAGGAAAAAAAAAAAACAAAAACGGAAAAAACCUUAUCUCAGACAUAGUCUUUUAAAAAAAAUAUUAGAGAGAAAGAGAAAGUGGGUGUGCAUAUGUGGAGGGGAGGGGCAGAGAGACAGGGAGAGAGAACCCCAAGCAGGCUCUGCGUUCACAGAGCAGGGCCCAACAUGGGGCUUGAUCCCACAAACCAGUGAGAUCAUGACCUGAACUGAAAUCAAGAGUCAGAUGUUUAACCGACUGAGCCACCCAGACGCUCCUCUCAGACAUGGUCUUAACGACUGUUUCCAAUGUGGGCCAAAUGAAUUCUAUACUCUAAAUGCCCAGGAUUGUAUCCAUGGUUCAAGCCUUCUGUCUGGGCUUCUCCAUCACCAAAAGACAGUAUCACGCAAUCUGGGGGAAGGUGGCACAAGGAAAACAACCUGAACUUGCUGAGAAUGGGAAUACAUAAAGGCUAAGUAAUCUGGCCCGAUGUUGACACAACUGUUCUUUUCCCCAGAUAACUGCUUUCUCCUCAUUUAUAGCACUUU